AGAUCAUAAUGUGGACACUUCCUCUGCAAAUCUUUAUAUCUUUCCCAGGCUUCAUACAAAGAUUCACCAUCUAACUGCAUAAAACUAGUAAUGUCAUUUCUGAGUUU